AGAGUUUGAUCAUGGCUCAGAACGAACGCUGGCGGCAGGCCUAACACAUGCAAGUCGAACGCGUGUAGCAAUACACGAGUGGCGCACGGGUGAGUAACACGUGGGAAUCAACCCAGAGGUUCGGAAUAACCGCGGGAAACUGCGGCUAAUACCGGAUAUCCCCUACGGGGGAAAGAUUUAUCGCCUUUGGACGAGCCCGCGUCCGAUUAGCUAGUUGGUGAGGUAACGGCUCACCAAGGCUCCGAUCGGUAGCUGGUCUGAGAGGACGACCAGCCACACUGGAACUGAGAUACGGUCCAGACUCCUACGGGAGGCAGCAGUGGGGAAUAUUGGGCAAUGGAGGCAACUCUGACCCAGCCAUGCCGCGUGGGUGACGAAGGUCUUCGGAUUGUAAAGCCCUUUCGGCGGGGACGAUGAUGACGGUACCCGCAGAAGAAGCCCCGGCUAACUUCGUGCCAGCAGCCGCGGUAAUACGAAGGGGGCUAGCGUUGUUCGGAAUUACUGGGCGUAAAGGGCGUGUAGGCGGCCCGUUAAGACAGGUGUGAAAUUCCUGGGCUCAACCCAGGACGUGCGCCUGUGACUGGCGGGCUUGAGUCCGGGAGAGGAUGGUGGAACUCCCAGUGUAGAGGUGAAAUUCGUAGAUAUUGGGAAGAACACCCGUGGCGAAGGCGGCCAUCUGGACCGGUACUGACGCUAAGGCGCGACAGCGUGGGGAGCAAACAGGAUUAGAUACCCUGGUAGUCCACGCCGUAAACGAUGAGUGCUAGACGUUGGGAAGCCUAGCUUUUCAGUGUCGCAGC
rnacentral:rRNA from 1 species